rnacentral:rRNA from 1 species
AUUGAACGCUGGCGGAAUGCUUUACACAUGCAAGUCGAACGGUAGAGGGGGCAACCCCUCGAGAGUGGCGAACGGGUGAGUAAUAUAUCGGAACGUGCCCAGUCGUGGGGGAUAACGUAGCGAAAGUUACGCUAAUACCGCAUACGAUCUAAGGAUGAAAGCGGGGGAUCGCAAGACCUCGAGCGAUUGGCGCGGCCGAUAUCAGAUUAGGUAGUUGGUGGGGUAAAGGCUCACCAAGCCAACGAUCUGUAGAUGGUCUGAGAGGACGACCAGCCACACUGGAACUGAGACACGGUCCAGACUCCUACGGGAGGCAGCAGUGGGGAAUUUUGGACAAUGGACGCAAGUCUGAUCCAGCCAUUCCGCGUGCAGGAUGAAGGCCCUCGGGUUGUAAACUGCUUUUGUACGGAACGAAAAGGUCUCUCUUAAUACGGGGGACUCAUGACGGUACCGUAAGAAUAAGCACCGGCUAACUACGUGCCAGCCGCCGCGGUAA